rnacentral:tRNA from 1 species
UGGCUCAGUGGUAGAGUGCUUGCCUUGCAUGUAAGAAGCCCUGGGUUCAAUUCCUCAG